rnacentral:rRNA from 1 species
GGGUUGUGAGGUUAAGCGACUAAGCGUACACGGUGGAUGCCCUGGCAGUCAGAGGCGAUGAAGGACGUGCUAAUCUGCGAAAAGCGUCGGUAAGGUGAUAUGAACCGUUAUAACCGGCGAUGUCCGAAUGGGGAAACCCAGUGCAAUUCGUUGCACUAUCGUUAACUGAAUACAUAGGUUAACGAGGCGAACCGGGGGAACUGAAACAUCUAAGUACCCCGAGGAAAAGAAAUCAACCGAGAUUCCCCCAGUAGCGGCGAGCGAACGGGGAGCAGCCCAGAGUCUGAAUCAGCUUGUGUGUUAGUGGAACGGUCUGGAAAGUCCGACGGUACAGGGUGAUAGUCCCGUACACCAAAAUGCACAGGCUGUGAACUCGAAGAGUAGGGCGGGACACGUGGUAUCCUGUCUGAAUAUGGGGGGACCAUCCUCCAAGGCUAAAUACUCCUGACUGACCGAUAGUGAACCAGUACCGUGAGGGAAAGGCGAAAAGAACCCCGGCGAGGGGAGUGAAAAAGAACCUGAAACCGUGUACGUACAAGCAGUGGGAGCACCUUCGGGUGUGACUGCGUACCUUUUGUAUAAUGGGUCAGCGACUUAUAUUCUGUAGCAAGGUUAACCGUAUAGGGGAGCCGCAGGGAAACCGAGUCUUAACUGGGCGUUAAGUUGCAGGGUAUAGACCCGAAACCCGGUGAUCUAGCCAUGGGCAGGUUGAAGGUUGGGUAACACUAACUGGAGGACCGAACCGACUAAUGUUGAAAAAUUAGCGGAUGACUUGUGGCUGGGGGUGAAAGGCCAAUCAAACCGGGAGAUAGCUGGUUCUCCCCGAAAGCUAUUUAGGUAGCGCCUCGUGAACUCAUCUUCGGGGGUAGAGCACUGUUUCGGCUAGGGGGUCAUCCCGACUUACCAACCCGAUGCAAACUACGAAUACCGAAGAAUGUUAUCACGGGAGACACACGGCGGGUGCUAACGUCCGUCGUGAAGAGGGAAACAACCCAGACCGCCAGCUAAGGUCCCAAAGUCAUGGUUAAGUGGGAAACGAUGUGGGAAGGCACAGACAGCCAGGAUGUUGGCUUAGAAGCAGCCAUCAUUUAAAGAAAGCGUAAUAGCUCACUGGUCGAGUCGGCCUGCGCGGAAGAUGUAACGGGGCUAAACCAUGCACCGAAGCUGCGGCAGCGACACUAUGUGUUGUUGGGUAGGGGAGCGUUCUGUAAGCCUGCGAAGGUGACCUGUGAGGGUUGCUGGAGGUAUCAGAAGUGCGAAUGCUGACAUAAGUAACGAUAAAGCGGGUGAAAAGCCCGCUCGCCGGAAGACCAAGGGUUCCUGUCCAACGUUAAUCGGGGCAGGGUGAGUCGACCCCUAAGGCGAGGCCGAAAGGCGUAGUCGAUGGGAAACAGGUUAAUAUUCCUGUACUUGGUGUUACUGCGAAGGGGGGACGGAGAAGGCUAUGUUAGCCGGGCGACGGUUGUCCCGGUUUAAGCAUGUAGGCUGAUUAUCCAGGCAAAUCCGGAUAAUCAAGGCUGAGGUGUGAUGACGAGGCACUACGGUGCUGAAGUAACAAAUGCCCUGCUUCCAGGAAAAGCCUCUAAGCAUCAGGUAACAUCAAAUCGUACCCCAAACCGACACAGGUGGUCAGGUAGAGAAUACCAAGGCGCUUGAGAGAACUCGGGUGAAGGAACUAGGCAAAAUGGUGCCGUAACUUCGGGAGAAGGCACGCUGGUGUGUAGGUGAAGUCCCUGCGGAUGGAGCUGAGACCAGUCGAAGAUACCAGCUGGCUGCAACUGUUUAUUAAAAACACAGCACUGUGCAAACACGAAAGUGGACGUAUACGGUGUGACGCCUGCCCGGUGCCGGAAGGUUAAUUGAUGGGGUUAUCCGUAAGGAGAAGCUCUUGAUCGAAGCCCCGGUAAACGGCGGCCGUAACUAUAACGGUCCUAAGGUAGCGAAAUUCCUUGUCGGGUAAGUUCCGACCUGCACGAAUGGCGUAAUGAUGGCCAGGCUGUCUCCACCCGAGACUCAGUGAAAUUGAACUCGCUGUGAAGAUGCAGUGUACCCGCGGCAAGACGGAAAGACCCCGUGAACCUUUACUAUAGCUUGACACUGAACAUUGAGCCUUGAUGUGUAGGAUAGGUGGGAGGCUUUGAAGCGUGGACGCCAGUCUGCGUGGAGCCAACCUUGAAAUACCACCCUUUAAUGUUUGAUGUUCUAACGUUGGCCCCUGACCGGGGUUGCGGACAGUGUCUGGUGGGUAGUUUGACUGGGGCGGUCUCCUCCCAAAGCGUAACGGAGGAGCACGAAGGUUAGCUAAUCCUGGUCGGACAUCAGGAGGUUAGUGCAAUGGCAUAAGCUAGCUUGACUGCGAGCGUGACGGCGCGAGCAGGUGCGAAAGCAGGUCAUAGUGAUCCGGUGGUUCUGAAUGGAAGGGCCAUCGCUCAACGGAUAAAAGGUACUCCGGGGAUAACAGGCUGAUACCGCCCAAGAGUUCAUAUCGACGGCGGUGUUUGGCACCUCGAUGUCGGCUCAUCACAUCCUGGGGCUGAAGUAGGUCCCAAGGGUAUGGCUGUUCGCCAUUUAAAGUGGUACGCGAGCUGGGUUUAGAACGUCGUGAGACAGUUCGGUCCCUAUCUGCCGUGGGCGCUGGAGAAUUGAGGGGGGCUGCUCCUAGUACGAGAGGACCGGAGUGGACGCAUCACUGGUGUUCGGGUUGUCAUGCCAAUGGCACUGCCCGGUAGCUAAAUGCGGAAGAGAUAAGUGCUGAAAGCAUCUAAGCACGAAACUUGCCCCGAGAUGAGUUCUCCCUGAGACUUUAAGUCUCCUGAAGGAACGUUGAAGACGACGACGUUGAUAGGCCGGGUGUGUAAGCGCAGCGAUGCGUUGAGCUAACCGGUACUAAUGAACCGUGAGGCUUAACCUUACAACGCCGAAG